UACAGAGGGUGCGAGCGUUAAUCGGAAUUACUGGGCGUAAAGCGUGCGUAGACGGUUAUUUAAGUCGGGUGUGAAAGCCCCGGGCUCAACCUGGGAAUUGCAUUCGAGACUGAAUAGCUAGGGUACGGUAGAGGGAAGUGGAAUUUCCGGUGUAGCGGUGAAAUGCGUAGAUAUUGGGAGGAACACCAGUGGCGAAGGCGGCUACCUGGACCGGUUCUGACGCUGAUGCGCGAAAGCGUGGGUAGCAAACAGG
rnacentral:rRNA from 1 species